GAUGAACGCUGGCGGCGUGCCUAAUACAUGCAAGUCGAGCGAACAGACGAGGAGCUUGCUCCUCUGACGUUAGCGGCGGACGGGUGAGUAACACGUGGAUAACCUACCUAUAAGACUGGGAUAACUUCGGGACACCGGAGCUAAUACCGGAUAAUAUCUUGCACCGCAUGGUUCAAUAGUGAAAGACGGUUUUGCUGUCACUUAUCGAUGGAUACGCGCCGCAUUAGCUAGUUGGUAAGGUAACGGCUUACCACGGCAACGAUGCGUAGCCGACCUGAGAGGGUGAUCGGCCACACUGGAGCUGAGACACGGUCCAGGCUCCUACGGUAGGCAGCAGUAGGGAAUCGUCCGCAAUGGGCGAGAGCCUUACGGAGCAACGCCGCGUGAGUGAUGAAGGUCUUCGGAUCGUAAAACUCUGUUAUUAGUUAAGAACAAAUGUGUAAGUAACUAUGCACGUCUUGACGGUACCUAAUCAGAAAGCCACGGCUAACUACGUG
rnacentral:rRNA from 1 species